rnacentral:rRNA from 1 species
UGGGGAAUAUUGCACAAUGGGGGAAACCCUGAUGCAGCGACGCCGCGUGAGCGAAGAAGGCCUUCGGGUCGUAAAGCUCUUUUAUAUGGGAAGAUAAUGACGGUACCAUAAGAAAAAGCCCCGGCUAACUACGUGCCAGCAGCCGCGGUAAUACGUAAGGGGCGAGCGUUGUCCGGAAUUAUUGGGCGUAAAGAGUGCGUAGGCGGCAAAUUAAGUCAGAUGUGAAAACUAAGGGCUCAACCCAUAGAUUGCAUCUGAAACUGAUAUGCUUGGGUCAAGGAGAGGAAAGUGGAAUUCCUAGUGUAGCGGUGGAAUGCGUAGAUAUUAGGAGGAAUACCGGGGGCGAAGGCGACUUUCUUGACUUGAACUGACGCUAAGGCGCGAAAGCGUGGGGAGCAAACAGG